rnacentral:lncRNA from 1 species
UCUUAAGUGCACUCGUAUUUGUUUCUGUAUCUUGUACCCUUAUGCUUUAAAUAGUAUUUGGGAUGUCACAAAUGAUAUUAGAGCAGUUAUGGGGAAUAAUCCCUUACAACUAAGGCUAUUGUUUAGAAAACUACUCUAGAUACUUAGGAUAUUUUCUUUCUUGAAAAACUAGACCACCAACUUGUUUCUUUUUUUUUUUGUAGGAAUGACACGAGGGAGACCUUC